rnacentral:rRNA from 1 species
UGCAGUCGAACGCGCAACAAUCUGUAGCAAUACAGGUUGUGGGCGCGUGGCGAACGGGUGCGUAACACGUGGAUAACCUUCCUUCAGGUGGGGAAUAACCCAGUGAAAAUUGGGCUAAUACCGCAUAACAAAACGAUGGGACAUCUCGUUGUUUUCAAAGGCGCAAGUCGCCAGAAGAGGGAUCCGCGGCCGAUUAUCUUGUUGGCGGGGUAAUGGCCCACCAAGGCAAUGAUCGGUAGCCGGACUGAGAGGUUGGCCGGCCACACUGGAACUGAGACACGGUCCAGACUCCUACGGGAGGCAGCAGUGGGGAAUCUUGCACAAUGGGCGAAAGCCUGAUGCAGCAACGCCGCGUGGGGGAUGAAGCUUCUCGGAGUGUAAACCCCUUUCGACCCGGAAGAAAGCCCGCAAGGGUUUGACGGUACUGGUAUUAUAAGCCCCGGCUAACUACGUGCCAGCAGCCGCGGUAAAACGUAGGGGGCCAUCGUUGCUCGUAAUUACUGGGCGUAAAGGGUCCGUAGGCGGUGUGGCAAGUCGGUAGUGAAAUCUCUAGGCUUAACCUAUAGGCUGCUGCCUAAACUGCCGUGCUAGAUUGUUAGAGAGGCGAGUGUAAUUACUGGUGUAAUCGUGUGAAAGCGCGUAG